rnacentral:misc_RNA from 1 species
GCGGAGGAAAAGAAACCAACAGGGAUUGCCUCAGUAACGGCGAGUGAAGCGGCAACAGCUCAAAUUUGAAAUCUGGCUCCUUCGGGGCCCGAGUUGUAAUUUGCAGAGGAUGCUUCGGGUACGGGUUCCUUCCGAGUUCCCUGGAACGGGACGCCAUAGAGGGUGAGAGCCCCGUCUGGUAGGACACCCAGCCCGUGUGAAGCUCCCUCGACGAGUCGAGUAGUUUGGGAAUGCUGCUCUAACGGGAGGUAUACUCCUUCCAAGGCUAAAUACCGGCUGGAGACCGAUAGCGCACAAGUAGAGUGAUCGAAAGAUGAAAAGCACUUUGAAAAGAGAGUCAAAUAGCACGUGAAAUUGUUGAAAGGGAAGCACUCGCUACCAGACAUGGGUUCGGCGGUUCAACCGGGGCCACGCCCCGGGGCACUCCGCCGGCCCAGGCCAGCAUCAGCUUUCCGUCGGGGGCAAAGGCGUCGGGAAUGUGGCUCUCCUUCGGGGGAGUGUUAUAGCCCGGCGUGUCAUACCCUUCGGGGGGCUGAGGUACGCGCUUCUGCAAGGAUGCUGGCGUAAUGGUAGCUAGUGACCCGUCUUGAAACACGGACCAAGGAGUCAACCUUAUGUGCGAGUGCCCGGGCGUAAAACCCCAGCGCGGAAUGAAAGUGAACGUAGGUGAGAGCUUCGGCGCAUCACCGACCGAUCCUGAUGUCCUCGGACGGAUUUGAGUGAGAGCAUAUAGGGUUGGACCCGAAAGAAGAUGAACUAUGCGUGUGUAGGGUGAAUCCAGAGGAAACUCUGGUGGAGGCUCGCAGCGGUUCUGACGUGCAAAUCGA